AUGGGGCGCCCCCCUAUUUCCUCUGCCCCACACCCUCUCCCCACUUGUAGGGCGGCGCUUCCUGUCCCGUUCCCCACUUCCUGCCCCAUAACCGCCUCCACCCCAACGGCUGCUGCCCCACAGCUGCCCCCCAAGUUGUGGGGCAGCCCCAUGGCACUCCCCACAUCCACCCUCUGCGCCCUCCUGGCCAUCGCCGCCAUCGCCCCAUUGAUUCCAACCACUGACCCACAAGUGGACACCAGCGACCCACAAGUGGACCCUGCCCCACAAGUGACCACCGUGGACCCACAACUGACCAUGGACCCCCAACUGAGCACCCUGGACCCACAAGUGAGCUCCGUGGACCUACAACUGACCCCCAUUGCCCCCCAAGUGGCCACUACUGCCCCACAACUGACCCCCACUGCCCCACAAGUGGACCCCAGCCCCCCAAGUGCCCCCUCUGCCCCACAACUGACCCCCUCUGCCCCACAAGUUGGCCCUAUUGACCCCCAAGUGACCACCCUGGACUCCCAACUGACCUCCACUGCCCCACAAGUGGCCUCUAUUGACCCACAAGUGACCCCCACUGCCCCCCAUGUGGCCCCCAGCCCCCCAAGUGGCCCCUCUGCCCCACAAGUGACCACCCUGGACCCACAACCGACCCCCACUGCCCCACAACUGACCC
rnacentral:lncRNA from 1 species